rnacentral:rRNA from 1 species
AUUGGGCGUAAAGGGCUCGUAGGCGGUUUCUUAAGUCUGAUGUGAAAGCCCACAGCUCAACUGUGGAGGGUCAUUGGAAACUGGGGAACUUGAGUGCAGAAGAGGAGAGUGGAAUUCCACGUGUAGCGGUGAAAUGCGUAGAUAUGUGGAGGAACACCAGUGGCGAAGGCGACUCUCUGGUCUGUAACUGACGCUGAGGAGCGAAAGCGUGGGGAGCAAACAGGAUUAGAUACCCUGGUAGUCCACGCCGUAAACGAUGAGUGCUAGGUGU